rnacentral:tRNA from 1 species
GGAGAGAUGGCUCAGAGGUUAAGAGCACUGACUGCUCUUCCAGAGGUCCUGAGUUCAAUUCCCAGCAACCACA